UACGGAGGGUGCGAGCGUUGUUCGGAAUUACUGGGCGUAAAGCGCGUGUAGGCGGCCUUCUAAGUCUGGUGUGAAAGCCCGGGGCUCACCCCCGGAAGUGCAUUGGAUACUGGGAGGCUGGAGUACCGGAGAGGAGGGUGGAAUUCCUGGUGUAGCGGUGAAAUGCGUAGAUAUCAGGAGGAACACCGGUGGCGAAGGCGGCCCUCUGGACGGAUACUGACGCUGAGACGCGAAAGCGUGGGGAGCAAGCAGG
rnacentral:rRNA from 1 species